ACUUCGAAGCCAAGGGAUACAUUGCAUUGAUCGGAAUUAGAUUGUUUGGAUUACUUGGAACAUUGGCGCUAUGGGGGACAAACCACCGCCUGGUCCUACGACCAACGAGCCACCACGGCAUGGUGGAUCCAGAUUCACUCUGAUACCCGCAAGAGGAAUGGUAAUGCAUGUCUUAAUCCCAUGGUUCUUUGGAAUGGUUUCUUUCUACAUCUACGAGACAUUCUGGCGCAAAUAGGAUCACCCACAAAAAAAGAAAACUUGGACGACGUUAAAUGACCCAUCUUCAAUGCAGGAAUGUAUAAUCGUCACGUAGACGCUAUUUUAUAGAUAAGUAUUGUAAUCGGUAGCUGCUUUGGUAUCCAUUUUGUUUAAUAUCACUUAUCUUAUUUCAAACGUAUGUUUCACAUUUGUUUAAAGUUAACGAAUCUGCCAAACCUUGUAUUUCAUUCUGUAACAUUUAGAAUCAUACUUUAUUGUAUACAUACAUUUGUAAUUUUACGUUUGCUCUCUUUGUAUAUAUAUGUAAAUCUAUUUUGUAUUUUUAAGGGCCCCAACGAAAACUAGAGUUUGUGCUGAUUGGGCUUUUUUUUUAAUAUGUGAAAUAAAUAAUAAAUAAAUGAUAACCCUAAUGUUGGAUUUAUACAAAGAAAUAUAUAUUGUAAUAAAUUGACUUGGUAAAAUCUAUUGCGCAACCGGUCAUUUAAUAACGCUAGAGAAAAAUAAUAUGCUCUUUUAGUGGCUUGGAUUACUACACAAUCUUUUCGGUUAUCCCGCGGGCUUUUGAGAACUGUUCCAAAUGUACCCAGUCCGUGUAAUUUUUUAACAUUGCCUUUGGUGAAUAUUUAUGUAAUAAUUAUAAAUAAUUAUGUAAUAAUUAUGUAAUAAUACAGGUACUAUAAUGCUCGUUUUAUCAACCCAUCGUUGUAUGUAAAAAAAAAAUAAUAAUAAGACAGCUCUAAUUAUAAUGCUAUUUUCAAGAGUUUUUCUCAUGACUAACUCGCUUUGUUUAGGAAUGGUAGAUUUAGGUGUUGUAAGUACACUGAAAAAAUGUGUGAACCCUACAUAUUUCGGGUGUCUUUGAUAUAGUGUAAACACGAGAAGCUUUAAGACAACACAUUCUGGUUUGACGCAAAUACAAGAUAGAAACUGAAAUAAUGCCAGAUUUAUUGUAAACUAGUAAUACAUUCAAUCUGCGUUGAUAAUUAUAAAUUAUCCAUGUAGAUUCUGGACUGAUGUUGAAUUAACAUCCUGGUCUUGCAGUUUGCAAAUUAUUGAUGCCGUAUUUACUUAAGAAUUUGGUCUUAUAGACACUUUUAAUGAUGUAAAUGAGAGGGGUGAACUUUUGUUGUUGAAGACAUGAUGAGCUUAUAUAAAAAAAAAACUCCUAAGUGUAAAAUGAUAAUUUUGAGUGGUAUAAUACAUAAGUAACAACUUUUAAAUAGAUUUAGUUAUUAUGGUUAUUAUUGCAUUGAAUAUUACAAAAGAAAUGUAGUAUCGUGUACUAGAUUGAGUGUAGAUUCAACCCCCCCCCCAAAAAAAAAAAAAAAAAAAAUGAAGAUAAAAAAUAAAUUUUUAAUAUCAUUAAUACAGUUUAAAAUAACAAUUGGACGCUGGAUGCAUUCUCAAAGCUUAAUAUAAGCUUAAUGUAAAACAAAUUAUCAUUCUAUUAAAUCAGAAUUAUAUCCAUUGAUUACAGAAUUAAAGAAUUAUAUUAAUUUCUGC